GAAGGAAGGGGACAUGAGUGAUUCCAGAAGUUGGCACUCCUGCCAACUUCCACAGCGAGCUCUCUCCGUCUCCCACCUGCCUCCCACCCCCAGACCACUGUCCCCAGAGGUUAGUGAAGACUGGAAAAUCUCCGGAGAAUGUUAAACUUCCCAGGCAUUCACCUGAUGCAGUUUGUGGGCAGGAGGAGACUUGACAAAGUGAGGCACAGAAUGAGGGGCUGGGAUCCGCUGAAGAUGAGUACUGUCCCAGCCCACGCUGACGAGGUCUGCUACCUGCUUAAGGACUCUGGGUUCUUCUCACCCAAGGCUGUGGGGAGCCCAGGCCCUGGGGAGGGGCUUACCUGCAGGAGGGGCCAGGCCUGCUGACUGAUGGUUCCGGAACGCGUUUCAUCCUGUGUCUCCCCGGACAGUCCCGGAAUCUACCUGGCGCGGACACCUCCUUCCCCCGCCUCACCCUUCACAUCCGGCCCAGGACUCGGGCCCCAGAGGACAACCCCUCAGACAGGUCAGUCUCUGCCCGAGUAAGAGAUCUUUGCGCCCCAGCCUGGCACUGGGAAGGAAGGACAGGUGAGCUCAGGCAGGGAGAGGUGCAGGCAGGGGUGUGGGCUGCGGAGCACCGCAUGGGCAGGGUGGGCAUGAGAAGAAUGGGCCGCACCUCCCUACCUGCGUGCCCUAUCAUCCGGGGUCUCACUAUGGGACAUGGGGCUCCUGGACUUUGAGACUGAAAUGGAAACUCCUCGGGGGAAUUUGGGCUUUGGAGACAUCAGCUGGGAUGGCCGAGGGGCCGUGUGAGCUCUCGGGGUUCGGUACCCCCGACACUGGAGUCAGGACUGCUACUGGGGUGCUGACAGGAGGGAGGCACCUGGGGAAUCCGGCUGGCAUGUUUCUCUCCAGGGUGAGAGCGGACUGUUGGACCCAAGCCGUAGACGCUGCUCUCUUCCAUCAGUGAAAAGACCAUUUCUUUCUUCAUUUCUCUGACCGUGUGAAAUGCAAACAGGACAUAGCAUUCACCGGUCAAACCCUGUUGAAUGACCAGUUCUGGGAAGGGGAGGUCCAGACCGGGGUGAAGGGUGGGGGCCUGUAUUGCUGUAGAGGCAAUGUGAGAGACCCAUGGGGCUGUGAACCUUUCCAGAACACCCAGAGGCAGUGGCAAGGACCAGCCAAUGGGAGGGCCCCGAGGGCUUGGGCCACCAUGCUGGAAGACUGGAAGGCCCUUGGGCAGGAGCUAAUGGUAUAGAGGCUGAGAGGGGAGCCGGGAGUGGGGAGACCUGGCAAAGCAGGGGCCUGCCUGCCUUGUUUCUACACUUGAAAAACUGCCCAUGACCCUGGCCUCACAGGCACUGUGGUCAUAGACAAAGGAGAACCGGUUAUUAGGUAUCUUGAGUUGGAUUUUCUGAGGACCAGGGUUCUCCCUAAUCUAAUCUUUGCAGGCCGCGUGACAAGCUUGCCGAUUGCAGGGACGUCGUGAUAGAUGUCACCUAUCUUGAGUUCAGUUAAGCCGUUGCUCUGCUACAACCAGCCAGCCAGCAAGCGGGAGGGAGGUUUGUCCUGAUCUCUAGGUCCCACGCUGGGUAGACCAGACUCCUCAAGGGCCCACCCGCCACAGACUGGGUCUCAGAGUGACCUCCUCUGGGGCCCAGGCCUGCUGGAUGGGGGGCAUGAUCCUGGGACGGAGAGCUGGAGACCUGCCAGUUUUCGCAGAGCACCAGCCGUCGGCCGGGCAGGGAGGUUCUGGUUGCAGAUGGACAAUGGGGAACUGUGACAUGGAGGGAAAUAGAGCAGAGGGAGUGGGGCCCAAGGCAGAACAGGGCUGGGCAGCGCAGAGCCUCGGCCUGUGUGCUGCGUGCCUUGCCCAGCACCGAGCAGGGCUCUCCACCGUCUCAUCCCAUCACAACGGGGAGCGCAGGAGCCCCGGGGAUGCUGGCCAACUUCCACAGUGAGCUCUCUCCGCCUCCCACCUGCCUCCCACCCCCAGACCACUGCCCCCAGAGAUUAGUAAAGACUGGAAAAUUAGAAGCAGGAGGGAAGUUUGGGGGAAGCUGAGCCUGCAGGAUGACUGUGACGUGUGCAGGAACACGAGGGUUUUUACAGAAGGGGUGUUGAGUGGGUGGUUCUCUCUCUUCUGCUCUGGACAGAACACAGGAAGCGGCUCGGGCUGCAGCUGAAGGGCUGGGUUAGAGGUAAGGAGGGGCGUUUGCCAGCACGGGUGAGCCCCGGGAGCCCCGCCGUGUGAGGCCCCCCAUGGAGGCGGGUUGGUGCUGCCUUGCAGAGGUGACCCGUCCCGAGACCGAUUUCUGGGACAGGAGCAGGGCACCUCCGGGGACCCCCCUGCUCUGAAUUCCAGCCCAGUGACCAUGAGCCAGCCCCAAUCUCAGUUUCCCCAUCUGUGUAUUAGCACAACAGUUUCGACCUCGUGAGAUUGCCGCGAGGAUUGGGGGGGGAUAACAUAUGUAAAAAAGUUGUAUUUUCAGUUCAGAAAUAUUACACGAACGCCAGCACACCGGCAAGUGCUCUGGGUUGGGAGCAAUUGCUGCGUAUUUUGGGGAGCGCUCUGCUCCUCCGCACUCACCCACGUCCCCCGCACCUUCCCAAGGCACCGCACACAACCCCCGCCCCCAGUCACUAAGCAGUUUGCGGGAGUCCAGGCCCUAGGUGAGGGCCUGCUGAGAGCCCCUCGGUUAUCCUCCCCUUGUCCCCUGUCUUUGUCAGGGAGUUGCUGGGAGGUACGGGAACGAGAGCAGCCGACAGCGUGACAUCACAGUCUGAGGUUACUCCUGCCUGGACCCCGGUGGCACACCCGGGCCCCACGGUGGGGGGACAGGUCAUUUAUCCCUGGUGGCUCCAGGCCUGGGUGGCCCCUCAUUACCCCAGAUCCCUCAGCGGGGUGCACCUCCCUCGGGGCCGGCCUGGCCUUCGGAGGGCAGAGCCCUCUUCCAGCUCCCGCCUCUGCAGAUCCUUGAGGCCGAGGUGGCCUCUGCUGCGGUCAGGGGUUGGUCAGCGAGUGGGCGGAGCGGGAGGGUGGGCACAGGAGGGGAAAGAGUGGGGAAGUAGCAGGAGCUGAAGAAAUCUCACAGGGCUCUGGUAGUGGGGAGACUAGUUCCUGAUUGCCCUUGGCCUCUGGCUCCCCUUCCACCCCGCGGAGAGCAGGGUGCCCCUGACUCAGCUCCUUCUUCAGGGGGUAACCAUGGCCAGGGGUCAAGUGCAUUUCCAAGCUGCUCUGGCCUGAGGCGGCCUAGAGAAAGGAGCACAAGAGAAAAAUGACACCCUAAGGUUCACAGGGUCGGUGGUGCAGGGGCAACCCGCCGCGGCCUACAGGCUGGUGCCCUGCUGGGCUCUCCUCAGGGGCCUCCCUGCUGUGGAACCUCGGCAGAGUUCUUAGUGUCCCUCCCGUUUCCUCAGCUGUAACACAGGUGUCGUCACAGCUCCUCGCUCCGGCUGCCAUGACAACGUGUCACAACCAAGCGGCUCGGCCAGCAGGGAUCUGCGCGUUCCUGCUCCUGGAGGCUGAACGUCAGCUGUCAGGGUGUCAGCAGGGCCCGUUUCUCCCGGGGCAGCCAGGGAGACGCCCUCCGUGAGCUUCUGGUGGUUGGCUGAGCUCCUGUGUGCCAGGCUCUGUUCCAAUGGCUUUCCACGUCAUCCCCGCAGCCCCUGGCCACCCUGUGCCUGCCUCCCUGGGUUGGCUGGUGGCCCUUUCCUGCCCUUCCCUGCUGGAUGCCAACUCUCAGGCCCCUGGACGGGGCCCUGCGGCUCCUUGUGUCCCUUCCCCCUUCCCCUCCAUCUGGACCAGGAUUCCAAAUGGAAAGCCUUCCUCUGGCUGAGUCUUACAGGCAUGGCAGCCUUAGGAACCAGACAGGGACUGACCUGGACUUGUUCUUAUCCUGUCUCGUUUGAAUUUGAAAAACCACACGUGAGGUCCCAGUCCUGGUGCCUCUUGGACUUGUCCCUCUGCCCCCAGCUGCUGAUCUUCCUGCUGUCCUGAGUUGUAAUUAGGGCCCUGGAAGGACGCGGGUGGAUGGCCAGGGUGGGGGUGUCUCCAGUGGGGGAUUCGGCCUCCGAGACAUCCAGUGGACUUCCCAGGAGACGGUGGCUUUCGGGGAAGGGGCAUUACAGAGUGAGCCAAGCAGCCAGUUCACGAGGAGCUCGUCUGGCCUUGGCCACGUUGAUCCUCUCCCCGACACAGGCUGCUGCCCCACUCUGCCAGUUCCGGGGCCGGGGGCUUCAGUGUGCUUUUGUCUUUUUGUUGUCUUGGCGAGAAGUAGAGCGCUUUUCUCUUAGUUGUGAGGCCCGACCUGCUGACCUCUCCCUUGGCAAAGGGGAAGGCAGUUUUCCUUGGAGAAAAAGGUGGGCACCAGCAGGACGCCCCUCCCUGGUAUCUCCCAUCCCCCCUCUCUCUUCUCCUUUCUCUCUCUCUCUGACCCUCCCGCUUUCCUCUCCAUACCUGUCUGUCUGUGCCUUUUUUAUGCUUAGCUCACUCUGCCAGCCUCUUGGUCUCUGUUUCCCGGUGUCCCUCAGUCUCUCUCACCUGUGUCUUUCUGCCUCUCCGUGUGUCUUCUGUGCUCCUGAGCCACACCCCACGCAUGCUCCCUGCCAGGCGCAGGGAUCUGUGCGGAACUCGGUGGGUGCCGUCCACCACGAGCAGGCGGGGAGCCCUGUUGAGACAGAGCUCUCCUUCCCACAGAUGGAGGACAGCAGGAGCUCUCUGCAGAGACCUCUUCCCCUUACAGGCCCAUCUGCCAGGACUCAGCCCCAUACAUGAGAGUGGCCAGCAGCCCGGGAGCACUGGACUCUGGUCCUCUACUCCCUGAUCCUCGCUCUUCUGCCUAGAAGCCUUUGACAGGUGGAAGGGGAAAAAAAUAUCCUCUUCCUUUUCAUUUGGAGGCAACUUGGAUUUUGUUCUUGUGUUGAGCAAAUUAGUCUGAAAAAUUAUUACGGUUUCUGUUUCAGCUCUGCUUGCCGUGUAAAUAUUUUAAUCCAAUAUUGGAAGAAUAAUUCCCAUUUGUGUCAGCGGGGCUCUGGAGGGACAGCUCCAUUCCGUCCUCGGUGGUGGCGGGCGCCUGUGUCUUCCAGGCUGCCUUCCGAAGCUGCAUCUUCCCUCCCUCUGCCUCUGACUUUCUUUCCCUUUCCCCACUUCCCCUGCCCCAAUCUAGGGCUCUAUAAGACAUAGCCCUGGCUUUUUUUGGACCAAAGGCAGCCGACAUUCAUCAAAAUCUUAACACAUGCCAGACUCUGUACCAGGAAUUCCUCCCCAUCCUUCCAAGGAGAGCUCUUCACUCCCCAGGGAGAUAGAUAGGAUUUGAUUAUUCCCAUUUCACAGAUGGGCAAACAGAGCCUUGAGGAGUGUACAGUGACUUGUUGUGGACCACGCAGUCAGGACAGGACUGCCGGGGCCCAUGCACAGUCGUUGGAGGUCAGAGCAAGCAGCAGCAGGCGGGACAGCUGAAGGGGAUGUGCGCACGUGUGUGCAUGUGUGUGUGCGUGUGCAUGCACGUGUGUGCAUGUGUGUAUGUGUGCGUGCGCAUGUGUGCAUGUGCAUGCGUGUGCGUGCACGCAUGCAUGGGAGUGCACGUGCACCUCCGUCUAGUGUGGGUGUGCAUGCGUGCCCAUGUAUGUGGUGGGUGGGUUGGGGGAAAAGAAGUCACACUGUGGUUGGAGAUUUUGCAGGAAUAAGCAUUGGGACCAAGGAUGGGGCACCGAGGAACCAGACAGCUCAGAGUCUGCCCGUUAUCCUGCAGGGCUUGUGGAGACACAGUGACAAUUUAAGCAGGGAAGUGCAUGGUCAGGAGCGUGUUUGGGGAAGCUCACCCUGAGAGCACUUUGGAGGGUGGUUGUGGGAGUGGCAGUGAGAGGGGAAGUUAGGAGGCCAUCGCAAAAUGCCAGGAGGAAGCCAGUGACGGUUACUGGGGGCAAGUGGCCAUAGGGGAGGACACGGGUACCCCAGAUGAAGGAGGCAGAAUCUCCAGGACCAGGGAACAGGCUAGAUGUGAGCAUUGAAAGCAAGGGGGCGUGCACAUGGUGCUCGGGUUUCAGCUAGCAUGCCUGUGUGGGCACUGAGUCCCUUCCCCCAGAUAGACGGGACAGUACGGAGGGACAAGAGGUGGGCUUGGGGCCAAGGGGCUUUGAAUGGAAGACUUUGAGGACUAAAGUCCCUAAUUCUCUCCAUUCUACUGUCCCAAAGCUAAAGAAGUGGGAGUGAGUACCCCAUCCCUGGGAGUAUUCAAGCCCGAUCAGAUGACCUCUUAGCGGGGAUUGUUUAGAGGGUUUUUCUGUCCUGGGAGUGCAGGUGGAGGGUGUCUUCGUCAGCCUGGGCCGCCCUCCAGAGCACAAAUUGCUGAAGAUUUGCUGCGAUUCAAGAAUUGCCGAGAUUCUCACAGUCCUCGUGGCCGGAGGUCCAGAUCGAGGUCUGGCAGGGUCAGGUUCCAGUGAGAAGGUGACUAGAGAGAGUGCUCUUCUUGUAAGGCCACCAAUCCAACUGCUUCCUAGGAAAGAGCCCGCAAGGGGCGGCAGGGUCCUGACCUUGGUCAUGGACCUCGGGGCCGAGGGGGUGCGUGGGGAAUGGAAGACCCACCUGUGCAUGGGCUGGCCCCCGUCUCUGCUGCCCUGCAUCUCGUCACCCCGCGGAAGUCACCUUGGCGCCAGCAAGCUGCUCCGGGCGCCCCGCGGCUGCUGUCGAUGCAACUAAUUAGUCCUGCCCUCCAGCUGACAACUCUCACCCCUCUGACUAAAUGGCAGUUUCCCCCCAAGUGCUUCCCUCUGGCAAAGCUAAAUAUUAAUUAUCUCCCUUUAUUUCAUGAUUAUUCACGGGUGCCCGUGUCACCCCAUCCCAGAGACGUUGGCGCCGGGAGAUGUGAAAAGUAGUUCACUGUAGGGAGCUGCAUAGCCAUCCUGGAGCCCGUCAGACUCUCCUCGCCUGGGGAGCCCAGUCUGUCUGUCCCCGGGUCACCGCGGAGCUGUGCCUGAUGCCUGAGUCGACGUCCCAGGGGGAGUUUCAGGGUCCAAGGGAAGAGACGCAGUUUGCCCAGCCGGAAGCGUGGGGGAGGGCCUCUCCCCCAGAACCUGAGCUGGAGACCGUUCUCACCUGGAAGACGCCUGCACUGUUCCCCGGCUGCCAGGUGACAGGGCUGACCGGCCGCUGGCCUCUGGUGGGUGCUCGGGCCCAUGUGCCCACCUGCCUUGACCCAUCUGCCACACAGAGGGAGAGGCAGGAGACAGUGUCACAGAGGAUGGAAGACCACAGUAGGGUCCAGGACACCUGACCGUCUACCCCGGCCAGCCUUCCUCACCAGGCCCACCUGUGAACGCCCCUUGUCUCUCGGACCCUUGGAUUCUUCAUCUGUGAAAUGGAGCCGGUCACUUUGCAUUUUCACACCAAAAGGAAAUUUGAACCUGCAACCACCUGACCACAGCUCCCAGGACGCAGGCGUGGGAGAUGCCAAAGGCCAGCAAUGAACAGAGGGCGGGAGAGGACACACACUCCCUAUAGCUCUGGUCUAGAAGAAAGAGCUCUAGAACUUGGUUAGAAUCCCAGCAAACUCCAGGGAAGCCCUGGGGUGUCACCCCUGUGAGAGGCCUCUGCUGCCUUGUAGGGGACACUGACGGUCCUUGGAUCCCUGAUUCGCAGGCACUAGCACGGCCCCGGAAACUCUCCGAAUAGGGGUCACGUGCGGGCAGUUAAGAAGAACGGCCCCGGUGGGGGAGCCAAACAUCUCUGCACGUUUACUUACUAUAAACCUUUGAUGGAGAAGAGCUGUGCGUUUUCGGAAAACCUCCUGCCCCCCCGCCCUGCUGGCCACUGGCCAAACUACCGUGAGUUUUCUCUUCCGGGCACCAGCAUCCGACCAUCACCGUGAGCGGCGCCCACAGGUUCUCAGGAUUCCACUAGUGGUUCCUGGGUCCUUUUCCUGCCCCAGGAUCUUCUCCAGGAUCCCUCAUCCCAUUUGGUUUCUGGGGCCCUCCCCAGGUCUGGGAUAGUUUCUCAGACCCUCCUUGUUCUGGAUGACCUUGAGGGUUUUGAGGUCAGGUGUUUUGCCGAAUCUCCCCUCACACUGAGCCUGUCUGGUGUUUUUCUCAUGGCUGGGCUGGGGUUACCGGUUUGGAGGGGAGACGACAGAGGUGAAGUGUCCUUUCCAUACACCGUGUGAUGGGAACGUCCCAUCGGAUGCUCGAUACUGUUGGUGUGGCCUUGAGCCGCGGCAGGCUGGGCUGGAGCCCUCCAGCGUGGUCACCCCAUGACCUUCCACACCGUCCUCUCGGGGGGUGUGUCCAGGCAGCCUAUAACCCUCUGGGAGGCUGCUCCCUCCACCUCUUGGAAGGGCAGUGCUGACAUACACGGUUUAGCGUUUACCUGCAAGGGUGUCCCCCCGGGGGUUAUUUGCGCCAUCGUUUAUUGGCAUGGGUGUGGUGGAUAUUUAUUUUCAGCUCUGGGCUGUGUCUGUCUCUUGCCUCUCACCUCCAUACGGCUGUGUCCACCACCCCCCAACCUCGGCCCCCAGACUUUCAGGUUGGCUCCUGGGUCCGGGACGUGCUCCCAUCCAUUUGGUUUUUGGGCACUUCCUUACUUAAG